rnacentral:rRNA from 1 species
UGGGGAAUCUUGCGCAAUGGGCGAAAGCCUGACGCAGCGACGCCGCGUGGGGGAAGAAGGCCUUCGGGUUGUAAACCUCUUUCAGGAGGGACGAAGCUCACUGGGUUAAUAGCCCUGUGGAGUGACGGUACCUUCAGAAGAAGCCCCGGCUAACUACGUGCCAGCAGCCGCGGUAAUACGUAGGGGGCAAGCGUUGUCCGGAUUUAUUGGGCGUAAAGCGCGUGUAGGCGGCCAGGUAGGUCCGUUGUGAAAACUCGGGGCUCAACCCCGAGAUGUCGAUGGAAACCCUCUGGCUAGAGUCCGGAAGAGGAGAGUGGAAUUCCCGGUGUAGCGGUGAAAUGCGCAGAUAUCGGGAAGAACACCCGUGGCGAAGGCGGCUCUCUGGGACGGUACUGACGCUGAGACGCGAAAGCGUGGGGAGCGAACAG